rnacentral:rRNA from 1 species
CCAGACUCCUACGGGAGGCAGCAGUGGGGGAUAUUGCGCAAUGGGGGGAACCCUGAUGCAGCGACGCCGCGUGGGUGAAGAAGCGCCUCGGCGCGUAAAGCCCUGUCAGCAGGGAAGAAAAUGACGGUACCUGAAGAAGAAGCCCCGGCUAACUACGUGCCAGCAGCCGCGGUAAUACGUAGGGGGCAAGCGUUAUCCGGAUUUACUGGGUGUAAAGGGAGCGUAGGCGGCAGUGCAAGUCAGAAGUGAAAGCCCAAGGCUCAACCAUGGGACUGCUUUUGAAACUGUACAGCUAGAUUGCAGGAGAGGUAAGUGGAAUUCCUAGUGUAGCGGUGAAAUGCGUAGAUAUUAGGAGGAACACCAGUGGCGAAGGCGGCUUACUGGACUGUAAAUGACGCUGAGGCUCGAAAGCGUGGGGAGCAAACAGGAUUAGAUACCCCGGUA